UACGAAGGGGGCUAGCGUUGCUCGGAAUUACUGGGCGUAAAGGGAGCGUAGGCGGACAUUUAAGUCAGGGGUGAAAUCCCAGAGCUCAACUCUGGAACUGCCUUUGAUACUGGAUGUCUUGAGUGUGAGAGAGGUAUGUGGAACUCCGAGUGUAGAGGUGAAAUUCGUAGAUAUUCGGAAGAACACCAGUGGCGAAGGCGACAUACUGGCUCAUUACUGACGCUGAGGCUCGAAAGCGUGGGGAGCGAACAGG
rnacentral:rRNA from 1 species